ACCCGGAAGGCGCGGGCCUUAGUGGCGGACGGGUGAGUAACGCGUGGGGAACCUGCCCCGUACCGGGGGAUAACACCUGGAAACAGGUGCUAAUACCGCAUAACAGAAGGGGACGCAUGUUUCUUUCUUGAAAACUCCGGUGGUACGGGAUGGACCCGCGUCUGAUUAGCUGGUUGGCGGGGUAACGGCCCACCAAGGCGACGAUCAGUAGCCGGCCUGAGAGGGCGGACGGCCACAUUGGGACUGAGACACGGCCCAAACUCCUACGGGAGGCAGCAG
rnacentral:rRNA from 1 species